ensembl:lncRNA
CUCAGCACAUCCAAGCUGGUGGGAAGAAAGCGGAGCAGGGCCAGCUGCUGAGGACCCAUCCCUUAGGUUCUGGUCCUGGAAUGUGUGGACCAAGUGCCCUGGUCCCUUUGCUAGAGAAAAGGAGUGGGAGUCAGCCAACUGACGGCAGCAGAGGGUGGGGACCAACCCCCAGUACAAAAUCAGGCUUAGUUUCCUGCUUGAGAGGCAUCAUCAGAAGAAGACCCCCAGGAGAAGAGGCGGGACUGACUCAGGUGGCCUGCUUGGAGUGAGGUGAUGGAGAGGGGACAGAACCCCCUGCAGCCCACUCCCCACCCAGGCCUGAGCCUUUGCCUCGACGCUGGCUCUCCGCCUCCCUCCAGGGAUAUGAGGCCUGGCUCACCCCGCUUGCCCCACCCCGGGACAGACCAUGGCAGGCAACCCGGGGCUUCUGAGGACCCUCCCCAUGGAGUUCCACCCCAAGCCUUUCCCUGCCCAGGGCUCCCAGAGAUCUGAGGCAUUGAGGCAGAGGGUCACCCCUGUUGCCCGUGUUUUUCCCAGGCCUUGACCCACGGGGGAGUCGUCCUGUGCUUCAGCAUUCUCCGCCACCCACAUCUACUUCCUGACUACCAGCUCUGUACCGGCUACCUCUGGGCACCUCCCCCCCAACACUCCACAGAGCUCUCAAACUGAGCUCCUCAGGCUCCCCAAUCCCGGCCACCCACUGCGGAAGGCUCUGCGGCCCACAGGGUCCAUGAAGUGGAAACCACAGCAUCGUGCUGGGGCUUCAUUCACCCACGGUGCACCACGGCGCCAUCCUCCCUCCACGACAGGGGCACCUUUCCCAGAAGCCGCUGAGGGCUGUCAGGCCACAGCAGAAGCUAGGACGUCUGCCUCAGGGGUUCCUCUGCUGCCCUCUCAGGGGUGGGUGGGCUCUGCCCCCCAGCUGUCCUGCUUCCUCUCCCAGUGGGCCACUGGGCUGCAGAGCAGCAAACAAGAGAGGCUCUCGGCCUUCGCCAUCAAAGGCGUCCCCUCCUCUCUCUGCCCUCUCUGCAUAGCCGUCCCGGCCAGCACUGAGCAUCCUCCAGGGGCCAGCAGAGAAGGUGGACACGAUGCGGGGGGCCUGGCCUCCUGUCUUUUGUGGAGGAGACUGAGCCUCUGGUCCCCAGCCACUCUUAUAAGAAAGGGAACCAUCAAAAUGAGUCAAUAUAUGUAAAGUGGUAGGAGAAUGCACGACUGUUAGCGAGAGCUCAAUAUGUUUAUUUCCAUCAUGGUAUAAUUUAAUCCUGACAACAACCCUGUGAGGUCAGUACUAUGCUCCCAUUUUAUAGGUGAGAAAAGUGAGGCGGAGAGAGGGGAAGCCACACGUCUAAACUGAUGCAGCAUUAAGUGGCUGCACAGGGAUCCGAACCACUGGAAGCUUGUGUUCUAAGCCACCGUGCAUGUGCACCAGGACUGGCCUGGCCCGGCACGCCUGGGGGCCAGCUUCGGAUGUACACACCCACACACACACACACUCUCUUGGGCUGCUCCCACCGCUGCAGGAUGGCACGGGAGGCUGUGCCCGGACGACAGCGAGGCUGAACUGGGGUCCCGGGGCGGAGCCUUCGCGGCCCAGCCCACCUUCCCCCCGCGCGGCGCCCGCGCCCCCAACCUCGGGGGCCUCCUGUUUGGGCUCCAGGGACGCACGGGUGCCACCUGGUGGCGACGUAGGGUAAACGCCACCGCUGUCCCAGCCACGCAUCGCCGCGCUCAGCGCGCGCUCCCUGCCGCCCGUUUGGCUAAGGUGUGUAGUGAUUCGGUCAAACGAACGAUCUCCAGAACACGGAAUUCCCUUUCCUUCCCGCCCAGCUUCCUCCAGGGAUGGGGAAAUGAGUGUAAAGCCUUGUGUUGCUGCACUUGGGCUGCCGGUUGUUUGGGGGCAGGUAUUGUGGCAGCAAGCUCAUUUUACUGAAAAGUGAAAAAUAUUGUAUGUUCCCUCAAACUUCCUCUCCUUUCUCUGUUCCUGCACACAGGUGGCAGGUUAUUCCAGAGCCGCUCUCCCAGCUGAGCUUCGUGCUGGACAGCUCAGCCCCAGCUCUGACCUUCUCCCCUACUCUCUCUCCCAGCUGGAUCCAGCCCCUGUGCCUGGGCAGCCUCGUGCAUCUCCCCCGGGGCAUUUGGCAGUCCCCCCCAAUAGAAUCUGCCCCCAACCCAACUUCCCGCCAACCUGCCCAGGUCCUGCACUUCCUUCCUGCUUCAGUGAAAGUUGUCUUCAGUGAAAGUUGUCAUCGUGUCCCCCCACCCUUGGCCGAAGCAGAAACCUGCUCACGGUUCACUUCUCUCUCUUCUCCACCGCAGGCAGGUGUGGCUAAGCCUCGCUGUCUGUGUGACCAUCAAGGGGCAGGGGCUACAGGUUUCACUCUUCAUUCAACACAUGCUGUCAAAUGUCACCAGACACAGUCCUACACCCUGAGGAUACAGCAGUGACCAAUAACCAUGUCCCCGAGGACAUUCUAGGGGGGAGGGGGCAAAUAAUACAGGAAUAAAUAAGAAAUAAACAAGUACAUUG